rnacentral:rRNA from 1 species
AGAUUGAACGCUGGCGGCAUGCUUUACACAUGCAAGUCGAACGGUAACAGGCCGCAAGGUGCUGACGAGUGGCGAACGGGUGAGUAAUGCAUCGGAACGUGCCCAGUCGUGGGGGAUAACGCAGCGAAAGCUGUGCUAAUACCGCAUACGAUCUAUGGAUGAAAGCGGGGGACCGAAAGGCCUCGCGCGAUUGGAGCGGCCGAUGUCAGAUUAGCUAGUUGGUGGGGUAAAGGCCCACCAAGGCGACGAUCUGUAGCUGGUCUGAGAGGACGACCAGCCACACUGGAACUGAGACACGGUCCAGACUCCUACGGGAGGCAGCAGUGGGGAAUUUUGGACAAUGGGCGCAAGCCUGAUCCAGCAAUGCGCGUGCAGGAGAAGGCCUUCGGUUGUAAACUGCUUUGUACGGAACGAAACGGUCUGGUUAAUACCGUCGGCUAAGUGACGGUACCGUAAGAAUAAGCACCGGCUAACUACGUGCCAGUCAGCCGUA